ACAAGGAAUUCAUUAUUAAAGGACUGCAUUUUUAAAACCACAACAAAGAAAACUAUACAGCUCACUCCUUUCGUAAGAUGAAAGGUGCUUUGUGUCUGGUUUGGUGUUUUGGUUUUCUUUGUUGGGUUUUUUUUUUUAAGACAUGGUGAAACUAUUCAUUUGAACCAAGUAUAAUAGCUUUUAUUUAUUAAUAUUAAACUGUUUACAUGGCACCACUUCAGAACAACCAGUUAUUUCUAGCCUUGAAAAAUAAACAGCUCUUCUCAUGCAAGUUUCUUUUCCUGCCAUAUUAACAAGUGAAAAACUACAUACAAGUAUGCAUAUAUCUUGUUUCCAGAGGGCAAUUAAGCUAAAUUACUGAUUUAUGCAGAAAA